rnacentral:tRNA from 1 species
GCCAGUUUGGUGUAGUGGUUUGAGCGUUUGACUUUGAAUCUGGAGACCAAGGUUCGAUUCCCUGCAUGGCCA